UGAGCGACCUACCUAAUUGUGGGGGAUAGCCGGCCCAACGGCCGGGUAAUACCGCAUACGAUCGGAGAGGGGCAUCCCUUUCUGAGGAAAGCCUUCGGGCGCAAUUUGAGGGGCUCGCGGCCUAUCAGCUAGUUGGCGGGGUAACGGCCCACCAAGGCGACGACGGGUAGCUGGUCUGAGAGGGUGACCGGCCACACUGGGACUGAGACACGGCCCAGACUCCUACGGGAGGCAG
rnacentral:rRNA from 1 species